GACGUAGGAGGCGAGCGUUGUCCGGAUUUAUUGGGCGUAAAGAGCGUGUAGGCGGCUAUACAGGUCCGUUGUGAAAACUCGAGCUCAACCUCGAGACGCCGAUGGAAACCGUAUGGCUAGAGUCCGGAAGAGGAGAGCGGAAUUCCUGGUGUAGCGGUGAAAUGCGCAGAUAUCAGGAAGAACACCCGUGGCGAAGGCGGCUCUCUGGGACGGUACUGACGCUGAGACGCGAAAGCGUGGGGAGCGAACAGG
rnacentral:rRNA from 1 species